CCCUUAGAUGUUCUGGGCAGCACGCGCGCUACAAUGGUCUUCGCAAACGGAUGCAUUCUCGAAGGAGAAUGCCAAUCUUGGAAUCUAUGCCUUGGUCGGGACAGUUGCUUGCAAUUUUUCGACUCGAACCAGGAAUUCCUUGUAAUCGUGAUUCAUCACCUCACGAUGAAUACGUCCCUGCCCUUUGUACACACCGCCCGUCGCUCCUACCGAUCGAAGAGUUAGGUGAAUUGUUUUGAUCGAUAAGAUUUGACUAUGGUCAACUCUCGUUGUGAAAUUCUGUGAAUCUGACUGUUUAGAGGAAGGAAAAGUCGUAACA
rnacentral:rRNA from 1 species